GUGCUCUCUUCGGCAGCACAUGUACCAAAAUUGGAACGAUAUGGAGAAGAUUAGCACGGCCCCUGUGCAAGGAUGACAUGCAAAUUAUUGAAGUGUUCCACUAAAAA
rnacentral:snRNA from 1 species